GACUCAUUGGUAGUUUCGAGUCGAGUUAUGAAGGGAUGACAAGGAGAUGCAAAGUAGAAUAAAAGGAAGUACGAAAUAAUGAGAUGCAAAGCCAACAUGAUUGGUAGUUUUGAGGCGAGUAGUGAAAGGAUCAAGAUUGCUGACAUCCUAAAAUCAUUUAAUUGCAGAAAACUAAAGAGCGACAUAGGAAACAAAGGGCACAUUCCUUUUGAGGCAAUUUUCUGUUGUUGUAUACAAUAUUUCUUUCUAGAUGAACUGUUGUUGCUUUCUUUUCUCAAUCAGCAUGAUAUAAUUAAAGUAUUUGGUCUUUUGUAUACUUUUUAUACAGCCAAAUGUACCAUAUCAGCUUUUUUA